rnacentral:lncRNA from 1 species
GCCUUUACUAAUAUCUCUCCUGUGCUCUUGCAAGCUUUCCCCUAAGUUUCUACUAGUUACACCUAUGUAUGCUGUUUUUUUCUUUGGAUUCAACUAUUUCCACUGGUAUCUUAUAUACACCUGCAUUCUGUUCUUCAUCUCUCCUAGGUUUCUCAUUCCUUAACCUAUUGAAAAUCAUCGUUGACCUAUAUUGGGCUGGCUUCUUCUUAGCUUUCUUCAGAAUAUUUCUCACUGAAUUCAAUUUAGCCAUUCUGUACAGUAUCGGUAAGUAGUCCUGGUUUUGGCUCUCAUUCGACUUCUUUCUAUUUGGUCUAGGUGGUUCCUGGUUUAGGGCUUGGCAUACGCUUGUUUGUAUAGACUUGACGAACCCUGUUUCAAAACCAUGCUGCCUGCCUAUUUGGUAUAUUUGGGUAAGUUCUUUUUGAAAGCUUGCCUACUCUGUAC